AUUUGUUAUAGUCUAGUUGGUUAGGAUAUUUGGUUCGCAUCCAAAAAGACCUGAGUUCAAUUCCCAACGAUACACAAACG
rnacentral:tRNA from 1 species